rnacentral:misc_RNA from 1 species
UUCUGCUUUGUGUCCACGACAAGGUGGACGUCACGCAUUGGACGUGUUGCACAAACGUCUUUUUGUCUGUUGCACUUUCUCGAUCAUUGGCGAAGAUGCUCACUUUCCCCUAGCGCUUAAUGAGCAAAAUGAAGAAAAGAAGAAAACAAAAAGUAUCGGUUUUUCACUGGAAUAUCUCACAUCUGGAUCUGUCCUUAGCAUCGAGUUUCUGAGAGCAAAUCUACGAAACGCUGGAAAACUUGAAUGCUCAACUAGAAACUUGGUGAAAUCGAAUGGCGGCGGCACCAAUAUAACGGCCGUUUUGCAGAAACCCUUUUUUCCCCUGGUGGAUCGAAACCCAAACAUGGGACACAAGCUGAUUGCGACCGUUCUUUUCCUUUUGAUCGUCACGGAGUUGCUAGUCGACACCGCUGCUUUACCUGCGCCCGACAAACGUCAGUUUCUACCUUGGAUUCGUCCAAAACGUGAAAAGAUUCAGGCCAGCUCACCCAUCAAGACUUCUCUGCCUGAAAGCCACGGUUCGAAUAAUGCAGGCCCCAUCGGGGGCGAUUUUUCGCCAAUCGAUGUUGAAGAUGCUGAAGUGAGAGAAAUUGCCAAGUUUGCUACGGCUGCCAUAGCCAGCAGCCGCAAUUCAGGACCUCUGCGUGUCACGAAAAUUGUCAAGGCUGAGUCGCAAGCUGUUGCAGGUACAAACUACAAAUUGACUCUGGAACUGAAUCAGCUCGUCUCUGAAGGAGACAUUGUUUGCGACGUCGUCGUUUUUGACCAGCCUUGGACCGAUACUCGGAUUCUCAGCGAGUCCCAUUGCAUUUCGAACAAGAAUCCAUCAAUUUCAUCCAACGAACUUGGUUUGACUAGCUCCACCACUGCUGCCACACCGCUGACUGAAGCUCCAAAACGUCAACUUCCCAACGUUUCACGGCAAAUCGGCGGAGGAUUUUAUCCCAUUGAUGUGGAUGACGCUGGCGUCAAGGAAAUGGCCGCUUUUGCUGUUUCCAGCAUAGCUUCCAGCAGGAACUCUGGGCCAGCUCAGCUUACAAGAAUUGCCGCAGCCGAAUCGCAAAUCGUUGCUGGCACCAACUUUAAAUUGACGCUCGAGCUCCACCAACCUGUCGCUAUCGUCGACAAAGAUAUCGUUUGUAAAGUGGUCAUUUUUGAUCAACCGUGGACCAAAACGCGAAUACUUAGCGAAUCGAACUGUACCAAGAAUGAGAACCCAAAUGAUUCCAUCGUGGACAUCCCAUCUGACGUUGAAUUUCUCACGGGAAGUGAACAGGACACAUCCAACACACCAAACAAGCGCCAUAUUCCUAGCAGUCCGUCCAACAGUGGGUUUUUCAUACCAAAUCCCGAGCUGACUUUAGUCAAAAAAGGGCAAACUUCUGAACGUUUGAUUGGCAGCGGACUGACCAAGACCAAAGUCGUAGAUGGUCAAGUUAACACUGGUACCGUGAGUUCGCUCGAUGACGUUUCGCUGGUUGAUCUAGCUGAGACUUUGUUCAACAACAGCCAAAUUGUGAGCGUAGGUGUCCCGGCUCAGAAUGGGUUCUCUUCGAUCGACGUGAAUGACCCUGACGUCAAGGAAAUUGCUAACUAUGCCGCAACGGCCAUUUCAUCGAGUAGAAAUACCAUCAACCUGAAAUUACAGAAAAUUCUAAGCGCCGAAACGAAAACUUUGGAUGGAACCGACUUCAAAUUGCAGUACAUACUGACACUGGAGCUGGAUCACUUUAUCGCCGGAGCCAAAGGAGAAAAUCUUUUAUGCAAAGUGAUUGUUUUUGAUCAGAAAGGAACGGAACACCGCAAAAUGACCGAUUCCCUUUGUUUACCCAUUAAAAACGCAACAAUCACAUCUGCUGACGAGGUCGUUAUUGACACUUCAACACCAAUUUUGAGCGGAUUUUCUGCCAUCAACGUGACGAGUCCUGACGUGGCGGAAAUGGCUGAAUUCGCUGCCUCUGUUAUUUCUUCCAGCAAGUCGGGCCCCGUCAAACUCACCGAAAUCGUCAAGGCUGAAUCGCAAAUUCACGCGGCUGGCAGAAACUAUAAACUUAGUCUCAAACUGGACAACACGAUCAAGGAAGGUUCAAAAGGCAACCUCCUUUGUGAAGUCAUUGUUUUCUAUCAGACAUGGACCAACACCCGUAUCCUGAGCGAAUCCAACUGCCUGCCAAUCAAAACAUCAACGGUCGCUGGCCCGCGGUAUGUCCCUCGUUACAAAGAAGAUGUUUCACUCCCAAUUUCUCAGAUCCCCGUCACUCCAGCCCCGAAUGUCACGGACCAAUUUUUUCCGAUCGAUGUGAAUGAUGCAAAAGUGAGAGAAAUUGCCUCGUUCGCUACCGGUGCCAUUUCUGCGAAUAGUGACUCGGGACCCGUUGUACUGUUGAGAAUUCUCAGGGCAGAGUCGCAAGUGGUGGCCGGCAAAAAUUAUAAACUGAUCCUAGAACUGUUUGGAGCUGACAGAGAUAUUCUACUUUGCGAUGUGAUUGUUUUCGAUCACCCAAAGAAGAAAACUCGCAUAUUGACCGAUUCUAAAUGCACAUCAAACAAGACUCCAUCCGUUAAAAUCCAGGAUAGUCCUGGUCCCAGCACUUCGGCGCCAACAGAAAUUGAUUUCAGAAAUACCGAUUGGACUCCGUUCACGAAACGUCAGAUUCCUGGGAUUCCAGCUGGUCUAUUAACUUCGGGUGGAUUCUCUCCGGUUGACGUGGACAAUGCCGAAGUCAAGGAAAUGGCCAACUUUGCCACUAGUUCCAUUAACGGCGCAAGCGAUAGUCCCAUCAUUUUACAAUUGAUUAAAGUCGUCGAUGCAGAAACAAAAUUCCUUUUUGGCAAGAACUUUAAAUUGAUUCUGAGAGUGAAAAACAUGGUCAAGGGAGUAGAAGGUGAAAAUCUUCUUUGCGAGGUGGUUGUCUUUGACCAAUCGUGGACCAACACUCGCAAGCUCACCGAGUCCACUUGCUUUGGAACUCGCAAAAACACAUAAUAACCAACUCGAUUCAAAGUCUUGUAUUUCAAGUUAAGCGUGCCAGCUGUAUUUGUUACUCAAUUUUGUUGCGAAACGUUCUCCAGUAAUUAAAAUUAUUCAUUCAAUUCGCGUCCUAACUGGUAUGGGGCUCUUCUUUUCUCCUGAUGAAAUACACACCAAUUUGAUAUUGGUAACUUAUCCGUACAUAUUGGCUUUCUUUAUGCAUUUUUUGUUUGUUUGCUGCUUGUGGGAGUUUUAGCAACAAGUUUAUGCUUUAUCAAGCUGUGGUAACCAUUUGGUUAAUUUACCCACAUCACGUCCCAAGCAGAUUGCCGUCAUCACGUUGAUCAAGAACGGUAAAGAGUAUGUGCCCAUCUCUGUCUAAUUCAAUAUUGAGAACGCAUCACGCUGCCUUUUCGUCAACUAUUGCUUCAAGAGGAAAAGUUGUUGUGCCUUAUGAAUACUAGUAUAACCCCAUCCCUGAUUCCUAUUGUGCUCUAAUUUCAUUUCAUCCUAUAUAGGACCUUGCGUAUCACUUUUAUCCACAUUGACUAGCAAUAGGUUUUCGUUGCCGGUAGCAGUUUGUUCGUUCUGAUCAAAGCUCUUCCAAGCAUUUGCCAUGGUAACGGCGACGCUCUCUCUGUUGGUGUUUGUAGCAUUCAUCGUAAAUAGUGCUGGCUCGGCUUCGCUACACAAAGCGAACGCAACAGAACCGCUCACCGAUGGAUACUUAUCCAUGAACGUCAGCGAUACCAACACUGAAAAUGUUGCAAUCUUUGCUGCCCGCACGAUAUCUUCAGCCUACCUGUCGGAACCGGUGAAAUUAAUCAAGAUUGUCAGAGCAGAUUCUGAAAUAUUCGAUACUAACGGUGUUAAAGUCAACAUGACUGUGGAACUGGAAAAGGGAGUUGACAACAUUCUUGUUUGCGAAGUACUUGUCUUUAGUAACACUGGCCAAGAUGCCCAAUGGACCAGGGAUGAUCUAACGCUAAUUGAUUAUACAUGCUCCGCAGUUACAAAAGUUUCAGUCGUAGUGUGGCAAGAAAACGUGUUACCAGUCAGCCAAAUAUCGUCGGUUCAUCUGAACGAAACUAAAAUCAACGAUAUCGUUGAUUUUGCCACAGAUGCGAUUAUCAUCAGCAUUAACGCUGAAACUACGCUGAAUCUCGCUGAAAUUAUUAAAGCUGAAUGGCAGGCCACCUCGACCAGUAUAAAUUACAAGUUAACUUUGAAGCUAACGAGUCUUGACGGAGAAGACUUCUUUUGCGAAGCUAUCGUCUCGGAGCCUAUAGUUGAGGAGGUGACAAAGACUCGCGAACUUUCCUACUUCAACUGCUCCUUAAAUGAUGCAUCAUCCAUCGAGUUUGAAGUGGAUGUUCCUGAAAAAGCCAUCCUGUCAAAAUGGGUUUCUCCAUAAAAUAUUUUCUUUUUUCUGUGAACAAACUUCUCUACUUUUGUAGUACGAGUCUAAUUUUGGUCUUGAAAUUAAUUGCGCGUACAAAUACGGCAAAAUUUUGAAAGAGAACUUGAAAAGGGAAAAUUAUCUAAAAAGUUGCUUGGAAAACAAAUUACCUACUUUCCCCCAUCUCUGUCAUUACAGGUUGUCGCAUACUUUGCAUUGUCUUCGUUAAAAUACAUAUUUGGCUAUUCUA